rnacentral:rRNA from 1 species
UACGGGGGGAGCAAGCGUUGUUCGGAUUUACUGGGCGUAAAGGGCGCGUAGGCGGCCACCGCAAGUCAGUUGUGAAAUCUCUGGGCUUAACCCAGAACGGUCAGCUGAUACUGCGGGGCUAGAGUGCAGAAGGGGCAACUGGAAUUCUCGGUGUAGCGGUGAAAUGCGUAGAUAUCGAGAGGAACACCUGCGGCGAAGGCGGGUUGCUGGGCUGACACUGACGCUGAGGCGCGAAAGCUAGGGGAGCGAACGGG